ensembl:snRNA U6 U6 spliceosomal RNA
GUAUCCACUUCAGCAGUACAUACAGUAAAAUGAGAAUGAUGCCAAGAAUAUUAGCAUGGCCCCUGUGCAAGGAU